rnacentral:lncRNA from 1 species
AAAAAACCAUCUACAACCUGUUUAUUCAAUUGGCACAUUUGAGAGACCUACUUAUAUUGAUUGAAUAGAAUUACAAAUUACCUUGUCUAUCAUCUCGAUAAGAGGUUAAAGAUUUCAAAAUCAAUAAUCAGAAUCCUAUAAACAAGCACCUUACACGCACUUAACCUUCUCCACACCAUGUAUAUUUCAGGCAAUUUCAACUUUAUUGGAGCAAGCAAAAUAAUAAUAAUAAUAAUAAUAAUAAUAAAAAGAACAUAAAAUACGUGUUACAUAACUCCAAAAACGACGACAGCCAAAUCAGGAACGGACAUCUUCGUCUCCUCACUCGCCUGCACGAAACAAACACAAUUAGAAAAACAAAUUGGGCUGAUAAAAUCUGAAUUUAUCUUUUCCAGACAAGAAAUAUGUAUAGAUUGUUAAAGAAAAUCUUACAAGCUAUAAAACACAUUGAUCAAAAGAUCAUAUAAGUAUUAAAUAAAUCAUUCUUUUUAUAUUUUGGUGAAAGUUGGAAAUAAUUUAUUUUAGAACAUAUCUUAAAGUGUUGCUCUGUUCUUACUUUAAAAUAAACAGUUACUUAUUUUAAAAUAAUUCAUACUUUGUAACUUAUUUAUUUCUUAAUUUCACUAAUAAGAUUUUUUUUUUACGAACUUUACUCAAUUAUAUAUAAGCCAACUCUUUAAGCUUAGACAAAUAUACUCUUAAAAAUACGAGAAGAAUUGCUUUCGAAUAAGCAACUCUCUUUUUACUUAAAGUGGAAAUUACAUAUUCUAACAAAUUAAGAAUUCCCAUUUCAUAAAUAAGAUGGCAUGUUUAGUAUUAGAACUUUUUUAUUAAUUAAUUAAUAAAUUAAUCUAUAUAAAAAUAAUAAUUAAACAUUACCCUCUCUGAUUCCUAAACUACCUCACUUCUCUCUCCCUACUCUCACCCCUCAACGACGGCUCUCAACAUUUGGGGGAAAAAUAGGAGAUCCUCGACGCCGGAGUUAAGCUAAUAGAAGAAGAGUCGCCGUCGCCCAUCUCCAAUUCAACGAGGUCGGUUUCCUCCUAUCUCCUCUCCCGUAUCCGCAAUAGGUCACCUCGUGAAUCUGUGACGACGAUUUGUGCCAGUGGCAAUGGCUGUGGUGGUAGAUCUGGGGGUUUGGGUGGUUGUGAAUUUGUGGUGGUGUUGAUGGGUGGUGGUGCAGUCGCGAUGAUGGUGUGGUUUUGAUGUGGUGGUGCAGGCGACGAUGCAAGGUGCAAUGGUAUUGGCGGCGUGAAUAUAUGUGGGGCGAUGGAUCUGUUGCAGUUGUGGUUUGCAGUGUGAUAGUAUUGACAGUGUGGAUCUGUGCAAGCAACGAUGCAAGGGUGUGGUGGUAUUGGCGGUGUAGAUCUAUUGGCUUUGGUGGCUAUGAAUCUGUGAUGGUGUUGAUGGUGGUAGUGCGGUGGUGAUGGCGCUGUGGUGGUGCGGGUGACGAUGCAAGGUUAUGGUGGUGGCUAUAGCGAUGAAGAUCGUGGUGUAGAUUUUUUUUUCUUGGUUGUUGGAUGCGGCGCAGGCGAUGGCGGCAUGGUGUUGGUGGCAGCAGCGUCGGCAUCGAUCGGGUGGAUCAAUAGUGCAUGUGACCAAUGAAUAAUCUGUGACCUGUAAAAUUUUUGGAUUCGUGAUCGAAAAAUAUUUUGUGACAUAAAAUUUUUGAUCCGUGACCGAGAAAUACGUUACGACCAAUAAUUUGAUAAGUUGUGACUAAAAAUUAAUUCGUGAUUAAUUAAUUAGAUAAUUGUGACCACAAACUGUGACCUAAAUAUAUUAAAUUAAUAAAUAAUUAAAUCAUAAAUAAUUUUUAAUAAAAAUCUAAUUUUAGAAAUUUGAAACUUGUUUUCUUAUUUUUGAAAUGUGCCAUAAUUAAUUUUUUUGUUAGGAAAUUUUCCCAUACUUAAAAUUAAGUUACCCAAGCCUUUUUGGAAACAAAAGUAACUUUUUUUUUCACUUAUUUUUUUAAAAGCUUAGCCAAACAUGUUCACCCGGACUUAUAGCAAGGUUUUAUUUUUGUUUUCCUUUUUGUUCAUGUUGAGUUGAACAUACUAAAUAUGUCAAGAUAGAAUUAGAAGAUCUUACAUAAGCCGAAGCGUGCAGGGAAGUGUCUGGUCUCGUUGCUGAAUAUGCAACCAAGAUAGAAAAGAGGCCCAUGACUCCUGGAAAAUUUCACGAGAGAAGAAGGUCAUUGAAAAAGAACAAUUCUGCAAUGGUAUUUUCAUUGUAAAAUGAUGUCAUGCGUUAGUUUUUCUUGGCAUGGAUAUAUGUAUUAUUAAAAAAAUCAAAGACUGAAUUAAAGGAGAGUGUUGAAUUAUGUUCUGAUAUGAAGAAGUAAGAAAUCGUGACCCUGAAAACAAUGGCUUUUUACCCUUUUUUUGCUUGUUGAGUCGAACCGACAGAUCUUCUUUGGGCAGUAAUUAUGCGCUUUCUGGCCCAACAACUCAGAUCCAGUGUAUUGAUAACGUGAUUUGUAGUUAUUCAAUUUUUGGCCUUUACCUUCAUUAUCUGAGAAGCCCUGGACGGUUAGAUCAAAAUGGAGAUCAAUGGUUGGUGAUGAGGGUAGAAAUAUUACCCUUAGUCGCCCCAUUAGGUCACAUUCUGUAUUCUGCCAUUUGGGUUGGUUUCCUG